ACUCCUACGGGAGGCAGCAGUGGGGAAUAUUGCACAAUGGGCGCAAGCCUGAUGCAGCCAUGCCGCGUGUAUGAAGAAGGCCUUCGGGUUGUAAAGUACUUUCAGCAGUGAGGAAGGUGGGUAUGUUAAUAGCAUAUUCAUUUGACGUUAGCUGCAGAAGAAGCACCGGCUAACUCCGUGCCAGCAGCCGCGGUAAUACGGAGGGUGCGAGCGUUAAUCGGAAUUACUGGGCGUAAAGCGCAUGCAGGUGGUUUGUUAAGUCAGAUGUGAAAGCCCGGGGCUCAACCUCGGAAUUGCAUUUGAAACUGGCAAACUAGAGUACUGUAGAGGGGGGUAGAAUUUCAGGUGUAGCGGUGAAAUGCGUAGAGAUCUGAAGGAAUACCGGUGGCGAAGGCGGCCCCCUGGACAGAUACUGACACUCAGAUGCGAAAGCGUGGGGAGCGAAACAGGAUUAGAUACCCUUGUAGGCUCUGC
rnacentral:rRNA from 1 species